rnacentral:rRNA from 1 species
UACGGAGGGAGCUAGCGUUUUUCGGAAUUACUGGGCGUAAAGAGCAUGUAGGCCGUUAGUUAAGUUGAAAGUGAAAUCCCAGGGCUCAACCCUGGAACUGCUUUCAAAACUGGCUAACUAGAGUGUGAUAGGGGAUAGUGGAAUUCCUAGUGUAGAGGUGAAAUUCUUAGAUAUUAGGAGGAACACCGGUGGCGAAGGCGACUAUCUGGAUCACUACUGACGCUGAGAUGCGAAAGCGUGGGGAGCAAAC